AGUGACCCUGAAGGAAUUAUGAUAUAUUUCCAAAUCGAAAUGAAGAAGAUGGUGUGGUAUGAAGAUUUUGGCAGACAUCCAUCAAUGUGAGAGAGUGGAUUAGGCCCCUUAGCUUCUUCACUGAUGACAACUUCUUCAAGAAAUUGGAGUGCUGCAGGCCUUCAGGAUGCAGGUCAAUGUAUUAUUCUUUUCCCACCUUUUCCAUGGAUGAUGCAUUUGAUAGUUUCAAGGAAUAGAGGAAAAUGAAUACUUUUGUGGAAGACGUUGUUUGAUUAGCAUUGAUCAGGAAUUGAACAGAAGGAAGCAGGACAGAAAGAAAACAGAGUUAACGCCCUGAAUGUGGAAACCACUGCUGAAUGGCUGACACCUGCUUCUACACCUUGUAGAAUAUGGGAUCAAUAUGGGAUUCCCUGCCAGUGAAGGAGCUGCCUGGAGAUGGCCAUCACAAAUUAACACAGGAGACUGCAACACUUUCAGCAUCUUUUCUUUCACAUCAGUGCCGUGAUCAUCAGACUACAAGACUAUAAGAUGUAGGAGACGAGGGGAGCUAUUCAGUACAUCAAGUUUGCUGUCAUUUGAUGAGAUCAAAUAUGAUCAUAUCAUCAUGUCUAUCCCCCCAACACCAGUGAUUCCCUACUGAUUAAAAUGAUGUCUAUGUCAGACUUCGGUAUUUCCCGGACAGUCCUUUGUGUUGAAGAUAUUCACAGAUUCAUUACACUUUGAGAGAAAUUCCUCCUCAUAUCCAUCUGUUAAUAAACAAUUCCUUACUCUGAGAUUGUGCUCUCUGGUCCUAGAAUCUCACACAAGGAAACGGCCUCUCUGCAUUUAUCCUGUCAGACUUUCAAAGAAUCUUACAUGUUUCAACAAAGUCGCUUCUCAGUCUAUUGAACUGUAUUGAGUACAGGACCAGGCUAGUGAACCUUCUCUGGACUGAUUCCAAUGCCAGUAUGUCUUUCAUAGAGUCAUAGCCAUAGAAUCACACAGCAAUCCUUCGCUCCAAACAAUCCAUGCCAAGUAUAAUCCCAAACUAAACUUGUCCCCCCUGCCUGAUCCUGGUCAUAUUUACUCCACACCUUUCCUAUUCACGUGCUUAUCCAAAAGCCUUUUAAAUAUUGUAACUGUACCCACAUCCACUACUUCCUCAGGAAGUUCAUUCCACAUGUGAACCAUCCACUGUUUAAAAGAAUUUGCCCCUCGUCUUUUUCAAAUCUUUCUCCUCUCAUCUUAAAAAGUGCACCCCCUAGUGGUGAAAUCCCCAUCCUAUAAUUUCUAUCCAGUCAUCUCUCAAUCUCCUACACUCCAGUGAAGGAAGUCUCAGCCUAUCCAGCUUUUCUUUAUAACUCAAAC